AAAGUACUGCUACUAAAUUACCAAAACCAAGUACUACUACUAUAAACCAAAUACUUGCAUCAUCCUAAUCAAGAGCUUUUCUCAGAUAAGGCUCCCAUCCAAGCAGGAGGCAACAUGCCCGUUUGCUCAUGGACAGUCUUAAACAGAGGUGGCAACAUCUUGUAGACACCAGCAACUUCUUUCAUACCCAUGGCACCAUCAGUUAUUCCCCCACUAUUAUCACCACCAUUAGUCCAAAUACUAAUCUUAGGCUCAAGUCCGCGUAUUGCCUCGGCAUUAAUCUUAGCAAUCUCUUGAAACAUGUCACCAUUUAUCAUCAAGUAAUCCCUUACAGCUGUGUAGUCGUUUCCAAGUGCAUUGAGAAGUGUACUUACAUACGCUCCUUGAGCUUGUCCAAGUGUCACAAUUCCCUCUGCCUCCUUUUUCUUUGCAUAAAGCUCUGCUUCAGCUGCUUGUUUGCUAGCAUAAAAUGUUGCAUCUGCCGACGCUUUCUGUGCUUCUGCCUCUGCCUUCUUCUCAUACAGAAUUGCUUCAGUCUCUUUCUGUUUCUUGUACAGCUCCCAGUUUGCUUCUUGUACCUACACCAUCCAAAGUUUUAAUCACCAAAAAAGUAAUACAGUAUAGUUAUAUAAUAGCCAACACUUAAAAGUAAAUAUUGAAAUUGAUUAAUCCAAUAUGGAUCACAACUGUUAAAUGUGAAUCAACCAACUGUUCCAUGUUAAACAAGCUGAAAAGGCAGGUAGUUAUAUUUCCAUAUUCUUCAUUUCAAAUUACAUACCACAAGUUAAUUACCACAUGAUUAAAGUAACUGAUAAAUGUUCAACAACUCUUCCAUCAUGAAAUUAUACUUAAUUGUAUAAUAAUUCAUAGGUAAAUUAACUAUGGAGUUUCGGUACCAUCAAUUAGGAAACAAUCAAAGGCCAACUUCUCAUUGUACUGGCGAGGGACUCUGACUUUUGGGAAACACUCAAUGGCCAACUAUGAUCCUAUACUCAUGUGUAUAUCUUUGAUCCUAUAUAAAACAUUUAUCACGACAAAACUAAGAGAACAGAUCAAGUAGUCUAAUUAUUUAAAGAAUGCAAAUUUACUAUUCCAUAUAACAUAAUCAAUAAUGAACUGAAUAGAGUAUUUUAAAAAUUAGAAUAUCUUUACAUUAGUCCACAAAAGUUGUCUUUAAAAUACUCCAUUAGAAUGUAAUUAGUGUUAUCAAAGAGGUGCCAAAAUUAAAUCACAGUAAUUUUAUUUUCCUAUCAACAGCUAUUUAUUUAUUAAUCUUAUUGCUAUUAUUUAAUUUCAGCAAAUAAAAAAUGAAUGAAGUUAUAUAUAUAUUUGCAUUGGACUAAACUAACCUUGGUUUCAUAUUGAACACUAGCUUUGCUAAGUAAAUCAGCUUUAAGCUUCUCAGUUGUAGUCAAUGCAUUCAUCCUCUCGACUUCACCUUGCAACUCAGCUUCCCUUAGAGCAACAGCCUUCUUCGCCUCGACUUCAGCCACCUGAGCCGCCUUGGUCCAAGCCGCUUUCUUCUUAGCCAACUCAGAAUUAGCUUGAGCCACUUCAGCCUCUCUUUGAUUCUCAAAAACCUUCACUUCAGUCCUCACUUUAAUUCCCUCCUUCUCACCCUCUCCAGCUCUCUGCAUCGCAAUAACCUUCGUCUCUGCAUCAAUUUUUGCUGCAUUCUGCAGCGUUUGUCCUUCCCUCAAUUUUGAACCAAUUUCACCUUUCAUCUUAGCUUCUGACACGUCAACCCUAGCUUGAUUCUUGGCUUCCAUCUGCGUCUUUUGACCCAAAUAUGAGAAAUACUCAUGACCGGGCACAUCCACCAAUUGCUUAACAUUCGCAUUGUAAAUCAAUAAUCCGAAUUGAUUCAACUCAAGUUGAACUUUGUCAAAUACUUCUUGUUUAAACUGUUUCGUUCCUCUGAAAACCUCCUCCAUGGUCAUGGAAGCAGCGAGGACACGUGUCUCCCCUUCGAUGAUUCCUUGAACGAGUUCAUUAACGUGAUUGGAGUGUCGAUCAUGAGGUGAAAUAAGUUUGGCGUAUUUGAGAAGGCUUUCCUGAUCGUCAACACGAGGACCAAUUGUGAAGACGGCGGGGAGAACAAAAGGAAGUUUCUCGGCACUCAUAGCUUGAACUUCAAAGGUGUAGUUUACCGGUGAGAGGUCCAAGACAGUGCAGGAUUGACCGGGAAAAAUCCAUGCUUUCUUUUUGAGUUUGAUGUCUUUGAUGAAAAUACCUGUUAUCACAAGGUAUUCUGAUGCUUUCGCGACCCGGUAAAUUUUCAUUCUUGAUGAUUUUGAGAAGAGACUCACUGAUUUUGGUUACAAGAAAAUCGAAACAGAACGAGAGAGAAACGAUUGUGAAAAUCGAUCAGAUUAAGUAACUGUGUUGUUCUUUAUUAUGGCCUAAGGUACUUGGUAGGCUUUGUAUAUAUAUAGAAAUUUGUUAGGUUAAACCCAACGCGGUAAUUAAUUAAAGGAAGAGAGAAUAGAAUAACUGAACGAUAAAAUAGUUAUAAUUUGUUAUGAGAUAUUGUUUUUUUUUUUUUUUUAACAAAAUCUCAUUGAUGUUUUUUAGGAAGGAAAAAGGAAAUAUCCUAUCCAAUUUUAUUGGUUACGUUAUUUGGGUUAAUCCACAUAAUUCUGAUUUUAGCCAAUGAAAAUAAGUUUGUUUAGAUUUCACUUUGGGUUAAGAAUGCUAGCCAACUGUCCCAGGGACCUUAGUUGGUAGAAACAUUGCAUAAUAUAAGCAAGAAUUGGAGUUCGAACUCCGAACAUCCCAUUUCUUUACAUUUAAUAUAUGUGAGUUUUAACUACUUGAUAAAAAAAAAUAUGCUAGACAAUUUACCGACAAUAUAACAAAUAUAAUAAAAAACUUAUCUUUUUCAAUAACACAUAUAAUUGGCUAGCAUUCAAAAACCAAUAAUAUAACAAGGGUUUCUCCAACAUGUUCAAUAUUUGUUAAAGAAACUAAAAUUAGCAUAUUUUUAUCCAAAAACAACAAUCAUUUAUUAAAAUGUUAUGUAUUUAAUAUGAAUUGCAAAAAUUCAAAUACAAACUUAUUAUUUUUAACUUUUUUUAAUAAUUAUUUUAACUUUUUAACAUGAUAGAAAACUUAUAUAACAAAUAUAAUAAAAAUUGUUAUUUUUUCAAUAACAUAAAAAAUAUAGCAUUCUCAAAAACAAUUUCUUUUAAAGGUAUAAUUGAAAUAAUAUAUAUAGGGAGUUGCUAACUUAGACCAACAUAAAAAUACUAAUGUCGAAGUUAGUAAGUGUGUAUACCUUUUUGAAAUAUUUUAUUAAAAAAUAUAAAUUGCAUCCAAACUAUCAUUUAUUUUAAAUUAAAUUGGAACUGAAUUUUUUUUGUCCAAAUAAAAAGUUACACGGUUGCUAACUUAGACCUUAAUGUUUUUAGGUUUAUCGAAAAACUUUAAUGUCCAAGUUAGCAAGUGUGCACUUUUUUAUUUGAACAAAAAUACUCAAUUGUUACUAUUCAAACAAAUUUUAAACGGAAAAAACCAUGAAAUGAGUAUGCAUACCGCCAAAUAAAAGAACCACAAAGUGAUGUUAGUCUUUCUUAAGGGCUUUGUUUUAGUUUCAAAAAAUUCCAUUCAUAAAAUACCAAGCAUGUAAAAGUGUAAAUUAAACCAUAAAAUACCAAGCAUAUAAUACAAGACUUUUAACCUGAAAAUCUGAAAGACUAGUGAAUCACACACAUAUAUCCGCCAAAUAAAAUUCCACAAUUAAUCUAUAAACAUAAUAGUUGCAUCAUCCUAAUUCAAGUUUUUGUCAGGCAAGACUCCCAUCCAAGCAGGUGGUAACAUUCCCGUUUGCUCAUGAACAGUCUUAAACAAAGGUGGCAACAUCUUGUAGACACCAGCAACUUCUUUCAUCGCACCUUCACCCCCACUAUUAUCACCACCAUUAGUCCAAAUACUAAUCUUAGGCUCAAGUCCGCGUACUGCCUCAGCAUUAAUCUUAGCGAUCUCUUGAAACAUGCCACCAUUUAUCAUCAAGAAAUCCCUUACAGCAGUGUAGUUGUUUCCAAGUGCAUUGAGAAGUGCACUUAGAUACACCCCUUGAGCAUUCCCAAGUGUCACAAUUCCCUCUGCCUCCUUUUUCUUUGCAUAUAGCUCUGCUUCAGCUGCUUGCGUGCGAGCAUAAAAUGUUGCGUCUGCUAAUGCUUUCUGUGCUUCUGCCUCUGCCUUCUUCUCAUACAGAAUUGCUUCUGCCUCCUUUUGUUUCUUGUACAGCUCCCAGUUUGCUUCUUGUACCUAUACCAUCCAGAAUUUCAAUCACCAAAAAAGUGAUCCAGUAUAGUUACAUUAUAGUCAACUAAUUGAAAAGGCCAAGUUAAUCGAUAUGCACAAUCGUUCAUAUAUAUAAUUUAUUUACUAGGUCUAAUAGGUAUUAACUAUUAAUUUCGGCAGAAUCAGUUAAGAUUUUUCCACUUCUAGUUUUAUAAUGCAUAUUAUGGGAGACAAUCAAAAGCCAACUGUGAUCUCAUUAUAUAUGUUUAUUGAUUGAUACUAAUCACCAAGGUUGUAAAAUAGUGUUGAAUUCUCUAUUAAAGCUUUUACGGUGACAAAAACAAGAGAACAAAUCAAGUAGUCCAGUUAUUUAAAAAAAUGCAACUUGACUACUCCAUAUAACAGAAUCAAUAAUCAAUUGAAUAAAGUAUGAAGUAUUUAAAAAAAAAAAAAAAAUAGAGUAUAUUUACAUUAGUUAUCAAAAGUUUUGUAUCCUUAAAAUUACUAAUCUUUUAUCACCCAUUGUCCAUUGAUCAUGAGUGUGACCGAUUUGGUUAAACCUCAAAAGGGACAGAGUUUAAAGCUCGAUUUAAACACAUAAAUAGAUAUGAAUCUCAUCACAUAUAUGUCAACAACUUUAAUUAAUCAUAGUGAUUUAAUUUCUAAUGAAAAUAUAACAAACUAUUGAUCUUGUUGCUAGCUAGUAAAAAUGAAUUGUAUUCAAAAAUUCAUUUUUUGUACAAAAAUAAAAAAAAGAAUUGCAUAAUAUUAAAGAAAUGAAGAUUUGCAUAAUAAUAAAUAAAUGAAAAAAUUAUAUAUAUUUGCAUGUACUAAACUAACCUUGGUUUCAUAUUGAACACUAGCUUUGCUAAGGAACUCAGCUUUAAGCUUCUCAGUUGUAGUCAAAGCAUUCAUCCUCUCAACUUCACCUUGUAACUCAGCAUCCCUUAGAGCGACGGCUUUGGCAGCCUCAACUUCGGCCACUUGAGCCGCCUUAGUCCAAGCCGCUUUCUUCUUAGCCAAUUCAGAAUUAGCCUCAGCCACUUCAGCUUCUCUCUGAUUCUCAAAAACCUUCACUUCAGUCCUCACUUUAAUUCCCUCCUUGUCGCCCUCUCCAGCCCUCUGCAUCGCAAUAAUCUUUGUCUCUGCAUCAAUUUUUGCUGCAUUUUGUAGUGUUUGUCCUUCCCUCAAUUUCGAACCAAUCUCACCUUUCAUCUUAGCUUCUGAUACAUCAACCCUUGCUUGAUUCGCUGCUUCCAUUUGUGUCUUUUGACCCAAAUAUGAGAAAUACUCAUGACCUGGCACAUCAACUAACUGUUUAACAUUAGCAUUGUAAAUCAAUAAACCGAAUUGGUUUAGUUCGAGUUGAACUUUUCCAAAUACUUCUUGUUUAAACUCUUUUGUUCCUCUGAAAACCUCUUCCAUGGUCAUUGAUGCAGCGAGGACACGUGUCUCGCCUUCGAUGAUUCCUUGAACGAGUUCCUUAACAUGAUUGGAGAGUUUAUCGUGCGGUGAAAUAAGUUUGGCGUAUUUGAGAAGGCUUUCCUUAUCAUCCACACGAGGACCGAUAGUGAAGACAGCGGGGAGAACAAAAGGAAGUUUCUCUGCGCUCAUUGCUUGAACUUCAAAGGUGUAAUUUACAGGUGAGAGGUCGAAGACGGAGUAGGAUUGACCGGGUAGAAUCCAUGCUUUCUUUGCGAGCUUUAUGUCUUUGAUUCCGAUUCCGGUUAUCACAAGGUAUUGUGAUGCUUUUGCUACCUUGUACAUCGUUGAUUUUGAUUUAAUUUUUAAAAAUCUAAAAAAAAAAGAAAAUAGAAAGGAAAAUUACUGAAGUCACUGUGUUCUUGCUUAUGGUGUAAGGUGUAUGGUAUGGAAGGCUUUAUAUAGAUAUAUGAUAAAGGAAGAGAAUGCAUGAUAGCAAAAUAAUUAGUAUAAUUUUAUUGGAUGAACCAUUUUCUACGCACACCUCUAAUUGGCUAUUAAAGAUUAUCGAUGGUUAAACUUAGUAUAUUUUUUGUCUCUAAUCCUUGGUUUGUUCCGUUGUUUUGGAAUUAAUAUUAUUAUUUGUUGUCUCUUCUUGACAUUUUCUUCUUCUUAUUUUCUUCUUCUUGUUUUUUCGGAGGCAUUUCCAAGAUAUUGCCAGUUGGAUUAUCUGUACGGAAUUGCAUCAGUAUGAUCUUUAUGUGUUUAUUGUUGACCAAUUGAUCGCGUUUACUAUUUUUUUGCGAAAAUGAAUGUUAAUUUCGAUGAAAUUGUCUGGAAUUUAAGAGAGAGUCAACUAUUCAUUCUUCUUCAAAAGGUUUGGCAACCGGCCAACCGUAAUAAUAAGCUAUUAUUUAUAAUGUUAGGAUGACGAUGAAUCCUUUAGGGCACUAUAGUGUUCUUUCAAUACCUGCGUUUCUAAAAAAUGUUCCUAUCUCCUAGACAAUAGCUUUAGUGUCUAUUCUUAUAUUUUAUGGGCACUUAAGUGUCCAUACCUACAUAUACUACCUAUACUUUAACUAUAAAAAAAAAAAAAAAAAAAAAAUAUCAUAAUUUAAAUAAAACUAUGAUCUAAAUCUUUUUAAAAUCAACACGUAAAAUAAUACGAAUUGUUGUAUUUAGUCAAAUAAAGAACAUCUAAAAUAUUCCUAAAAAAUUAUAGACCGGAGGGAGCAAUUACUACAUUAAGCAAUUUUUAGGUUUAGGUUUAGAUUUAAGAUGAAAUAACUAAAUUAAUUAAUUAAUUAGUUGUACACAAAAAAAAAAAAAUUAAUUGUACAUGCGGGGUGCGAGGUUGAGAAGUUACCCAUUUAAAUUUGUCCGCACUCAUAUCCAUUUAAAUUUGUGGGUAAUUACCCGAAUCCGAGCUCAAACCCAUGAAAGCGAAAUUUUACCCUAUCCAUUAAGAGUAUUUUUUUGCAGAUAUCCAUUAAAUCUGAGUCCAAUUAUGGAUAUCCAUUAAAUAUGGAUCCAAUUAUCAUCCCUAAUAACGUCAACAUGAGACUCUAACACAAACUUUUCAAUCUACUUGUUUUUUAUUGAUUAAUAUUUAAAUGCAUCCCACUAAAUAAGAUGAGAUCAAUAUGAAUUUAGUAGGACCAUAUGAUUUUUGACGAAUUAAAUGUGUGUCAAAUAAUGUGUUUAGAAAAAAUAUUUAUGAAUUACUUAAUAUAAUUAGACAAAAUUAAUUUGGUAAUUUCCUCUAAAAAAAAUUAAUUUGGUAAUCGUCGUUUUUUCAUGAACUUAUAUCUUAUUUUCAUUUGACGAUAAAAAAUUUUAAUAAGGCACUUCAAUAUUUUAUUUUUUAACACACAUUUAAUCCAUCAAACUGUUAAUUUUACAAACCAUUAUAAAUUUUAUCGUUUAAAAAAGUGUUACUUUCAAUUUUCAAUGUAGUAUUAUUUAAUUUUUUAUAAUCUUGAAUAGUUUUUUUUUUAUGAAAUAUAAUAUUGUAUAGUUUAUUUAAUACUCCAUAUAUCAUUAUAAAUAUAUUAUUUCUCACUAAACAUUCACAAAAAUAAAAAUAUGCUUUCGGUUGAUAGGAUAGUUUAUUAAAAUCUUCAUUCUUUUUCUUUAAUUUAUUAGUUUUUUAUUUUAUUUGAGUGAAAUUGUCAAAAGCAAUCGUUUUUUUUUUUUGUUAAGUAGCAUAGUGGCUAGAGCUCACACAAUUAAAUUGUGGAGAAGUGAAGUGUCCGGGGUUCGAACCCUGACCCCUACAUAUAAUAUGCAAUAUUCCUACCAAUUGAGUUAAGUUCAUGGGAAUAUCAAAAGCAAUCGUUAUUGUAGGACAAACUAAGUAUUGCUUUUUAAAAAAUAAAUCAAUGAUGCAGAGAUAAACUUAAGAUUAUUUUAAUUUUUUAUGGUCAACUUUCUUUUAAAAUAUUCAUAUAUUUUUUAUCACAACAAAAAAUGAAAGUUAAUGACCAUGAAGGCAUGAACUGCUGUUGACUGCAGUUAACUGCUGAGGAAUUAAAAAGCCGGCUGCAGUUAACUGUUAAGGAAAAUUUCGGUAGUUAACUGCCGCCGAUUUCAUUUUUUCUCGGUAGUUAACUACCGAGGCGUCCUGAAGCCAUAAAAUGGCAGAACCUGUUGCAUGUGUUUUUACACAUUGUUUCAAUGCUAAAUCAUAAAGAAAAUAAUUAAACAAACACGCAUAUAAAAUAAAAAUUAUAACAAACACACAUAUAAAAAAAAAUAAAAAAUUAAAACAUUAAUUUGUGUUGCAUAUGAUAAUUUAAGAUAAUUAAAAAUAACACUUAGAUUAUCUGAAUUAUACUAAAGCGGCAAUGCCACAUGCUUGACAUAAGAGUGCAGCAAAGAUAGGUCUUCCGGUCCUCUAGGAAAGGGAGGGUCCACAGGUAACACCUCCAGGGCAGCCGCUGCUGCAAUGUCAUCAUCAUCUGCUAUAUGCUGCUCCUCUAGUAUAUGAUCCUGGUCAUAUCCACCAUCGGUCACAUCGUGGUGUACCUGAUCCUGAUAAUUCAGGUACUCCACCUGCUGGCUCGGAUCAACCACCUGCGACUCUUCAGGCUGUGUAGCCCGAGAAGCCUCCUGCGAACUCCCUGAACCAUCCACCCUCCGACCUCUUCCCCUCUUUGGGAUGUGCCCGCUUUCGCUCUCCUUCCGGUGGCUCUGAGUCAUCGCACGCCUACCAGCAAUCAUCUUAGAUGGAUCAACCGGAUUCUGAUCAGACAUAUCUACACAAAAUUUUUAAAAAUUAACAUCAUUUCCAUAACCUAAUCAAACACGUUAAACCUAAACUAAACAUAAACAUAAUCAAACACAUUAAAAGUACAACAAUGAACAUCAUUUCCAUAACCUAAAAUCAUUCAAUAUAAUCAUCAUUACAAUAAAAUUUAUGUCCAUCAUUUCCAUAAUAACCUAAACAUCAUUCAAUAAUUUACAUACACUUAAUCAUUUGUGUCCAUCAUAAUUCUUGUAAGCUAAACUAACUAAAAAAUCAAUAUACAAUUAACCAAACUAUAAUUAACAUCAUUUCUAUCAUUUUCAUAACCUAAACUAACUAAAUAAUCAAUAUAAUUUUCAUUGAAGCAUUUGAUCAAACACUUUGUGUGCAAAGUAUAAAACAUAUUCAAAUUGUGUUCAUUUGCCACCAUUCAAAGCCACAUUAUGAUUUUAACAACAUAGGCAACAACUACAUUCAUUUAUCAAUUCAUAAACUACACAUGCAAUCAUCAAAUUGUCAAUUUUAAAAUCAACCUUAACCACAUGCAAACUACUCUAAUUUUUUUUUAAAAAUAAACCUAAACAAACUAACAUUAUCAUUAAAGUGAUUGAUACAACUUACUUGUGAUAAUGUGCAGUUGAUUUUCUUGCAAUUCGUGAAAAUGACUUUGGUGAAGAUUAGAGAGAAAUUGAGAAUUUUUUAGAGAAGUUUAGAAACUAACAUAUUUGUGUUUCUGAUUAUGUUUAUCUUCAGCAUGCCUCGACAGUUAACUAUCGCGGUUUUCCUCGGUAGUUAACUGCAACCGGAUUUUUAAUUCCUCGACAGUUAGCUAUCGAGGGGGCAAAAACGUAUUUUACUCGUGUUUCUCAGCCUUAUCAAAUAUGUUAAUGGCAAUUCUCCAUAAACUUGUUGAUGUUGCGUUUAGGUUACUCUUAAACAGACAGGUAAAAAAAAGUUUAUUCAUGAACGGUUCCUUGUGUGGUACCCACGAUAAAGAAAGAUUAAAGAGAAAUGAUAUUUGUACAACCAUUUUGUGACAACUUUGUGACAAUUUUCUCUCUCAUACUCACAUUAUACUCUUAUUCUCUCUCUUCAUUUUUCUCUCUCCAUUAUUUUUAACCAAUGGAAAAAGAAAGAAAAAAAAUUGUCACAAAAGUUUUAUCAAAUAAUUGUUCAAAUAUCACAACUCUUUUGAACAAUUCACUUAUUUUUUACCAUGCUUGUGCAAAUAAUAAUGUCUUUUCAAGCUUGGCAGUACAAAGGUGGCCCUUCAACAAUAUGAGGGAAUUGUGAAAGUAUUUGUGAAAGUUUUUUUUUAAAAUGCUAACAAGUUUUUCCUUGACACUCUUUAAAGAUCUUUAAUAGUAAGUUCUUAUAAAAAUUUACGUAUUUAGUAAAUUGAAAAUUGAAUUGUUUGACUUUUUAAAAUAAUAAUUUAUUAAUUUGAAAUUCUUAAAGAGCGUUUGUGGCAUUCGUUAGCAAGAUUUGUUUUUUUAGGAAAUUGUGAAAGUCUAUGUCUACUGCAAUUUUGACUUUCAAAAGCAUUUUUAAGUGCUAUCAAAGAGUCCUUAAUUAUGGUGCUCAAUCUAAUAUAAAUGCUGCAAUUUUAUCAGGUAGUAGAGAAUUGGAAGAAAUUCGGUGGUGGCCUCUGGAUUUUGGCUAUAUUCAAAUGAAUACGGACGGUGCUUCUAAAGGUGGUUUAAAUGCAGGUUGUGGAGUGGUGCUCAGAGGUGAUAACGGAGAAUGGAUUUGUGGGUUUUUGAAAGGGUUGGGCUCUUGUGGUGUUUAUGCCAGAGUUGUGGGGUGUGUUUGAAGGAUUGAAGUUGGCUCAUUCUCGUGGUUACCGUAAAGUGGAGCUUCGCAUAGACUCUUCGAGUGUGGUCUCUUCCAUAUCCUCUGAUCAAGGUGGUUCAGUAGUUGAUCGGACACUACAUCAUAAUAUUCAACGUUUGAUUGACUGAGAUUGGGAAGUUCAAGUUCGUCACUCCUUUAGAGAAGCCAACGCUUGUGCAGAUGUGAUGGCGAAUUUGGCAUGUGAAAGUGAUUUUUCUUUGAUUUUAUAUGAGCAAUGUCCCGCUUAGAUUAGAUCUCUUUAUUUAGCAGACUUUGUUAGCAUUUCUACUUCGUGUUUUGUGAAACGAUAGUUGCUUUCUUUCGGGCUUCGGCCCUCUUGUUGUCCAAAAUAAAUUCUGCUAUUACUGGUAUCCCACCUAUAACCUAUAAUAGUGUUUUUAAAAGCUAUUAAAAGCCUCUCUUUAGUAGCCCUUUCCUUAAAGCGCUAUGGUAUCCUAAUUUGAUGCGACUUAAAAAUAUUUUUCGAGCAGGAUUUAAUAGCGCCUGACAAAAAAAAAAACACUAUUAUAAUUGGGCGAUGCAAUUUUGGGGAGACAAUGUGUGUGAUACAUGAAGCAUAUAGAUCACAAUUGUGAAGUGUUGAAUAGUGGUCUUUGAUCUUUAGAAUGAAAGAAAAACAAAAGGAGUACUAGUGCAAUAUGACUCAAUAAGUAUCAAAGUAAUUCGAAAACAAUAUAGUUAAUUUCAUUAAUUCAAUGUGAAAUUAUUACAUAAUAGUGGAUUAGUGGUCAAGUAAACUCACAAACCCCUAACCAAGUUGUUUGGGCUCCAGUGACAAGGAGUUUCUUCCAAGGACAUAUCCGGGGAAUACCGGGUUCGAUUCCUAGGGGGAACAACACUUGGCCAGUGCGCAUGCCUCUACGCAUGAGCCGGAUUAGUCGUCCACCAUUGGUGGAUCAGAAACCGAUGUGAAAACCAAAAAAAAAAAACUCACAAACCCCUUUUACAACCAUUGACUCAAUUUUACAAUCGCAAUGAUCAAUAUAAAAUAAAGAGCGAUCCUAUAUAGUGUGAAAGAAAACAUAGCGAAAGCUUCCCGAACCAAAACUAACUAAUUACAGUUUGAUGUUUGGCGGCGGAAUACAAGGAGGUGCUUGCUGAAAAAACAGAAAUGAAAUAAACCUCCAAUCAAAACUAACCAGAUAUUGUCGUGGUCUAUUCGCUUGAUAUUCUCUAGCGAGAAAAAACAUUUCCCUAAAAUAAAUGAUGAUCGAAAUACAAACAAAUGAUAUUCAUCUCACCCUUGUCAUCAAAAACAUGAAAAUGAACUUCAUUCAAUACAUUAUAAUCAAAGUAACAUUUAUGGGUUCUGGAUUGAGAAAGAAUUUUCUGUCAAUACUUCACAUCCCCUCCACACUAAGAAGAAAAAAUCAGGUGUGAUGAGCCACAUUGCAUUUACCUGCCUUCUACCACUAAUAGGGUUAAUACCUUCUAUUACGAUUUCCAUCAUCGUUACGACUACCUCCUACACGCAAUAGCCGACCACCUGGACCAUUUUCCCUUGCCAUUUAUGCAGGGUCGGAGAGCUGGAACCUAAACACCAGGGGUAAAAAUUGACAUUGAAAGAGACAAAAUAGUGAUGGAAAUGAGUCAUAGGUUAACACUUGCAGGUUCUCAAUAAGAUCUAUACCUACGGCCAAAUUAGUGGGUAUAGGAAAUUAAAAAGGAAGAAGAAAUUUUUGUGAUAUACCCACGGAUUUUUAACCUUUAUGUUGUGAAUUCGGUCUCAAAUUUCACAGCAAUACAAAUUAUAUGAUGUGUGGAGCAAGUAUCAAUGGCAACCAAUAACCAAAUGUAAAUAACCACAAGCAAUAACAACAAUCUAGAUCUAAUCUAGAAAACAAGUGCAUAGCAAAACCACAAUCUAACCAAAGGAUAAACAAGAUAAAGAGAGUAGAGAAAAAUAGACAACAACACCAAGAGAUUGUUCACCCAGUUCGGUCCAACCAUGACCUAGUCUGGAGGAGAGAUUAAUCUCUCCAAUCCACUAUCAAUGAGUUCUUACAAAGAGAUACAAAAUGGGUUACAAGAAAUUAGCUUCAACAAGCUCACAAAGAACAACCUUAAUUUCUACCCAUUUUCCCAAUCUCACCAACGAACAAGACACUCAUGAUUUUCACUCUCCCAAAGUGUUUACAAUUGUUUCCCAACUCUAGAAUCUAACCCCCAAAAGAGAACCAACCAUUAGCCUUUGAUUUCACUAAGGAUCUUCUCUUUUGGUUUCACAAGACUCAACCCAAGUUGCUCACAAAAGACUCUCCACUCAUAUGUUUCCCAACCCCAUGAAUCUUCCCCAAAAGGCACCAACCCUUUUCACAAUAGCCCCCUCUUUUGGUUCUCCAAGAUUCACAUCUUGAAACUUUGAACCUCACCCAAAGACCCUCAACCUUUAGUAUCUAAAACCCUAAAAGUUCCCUCCUUUGGUUUCCAUGAGAUUCACCAAGCUUACCCAACAAAUGGGUCAAAGAAUGCAUAUAUUGUGUUCAGAUCCGGACAAAAUCGUGACACAUUUGGUGCGUACGACCCAAGGUACGACCAACCUUAUCCUGAAAACAUGCCCAGCAAGCCGAAAAUCGUGUCACGUUUCCCCAACAUCGUGUCACGAUUGGACACCCUGCAAAACAUGCUCACGGCAUUGCAAAAUCGUGACACGCCUGUAAAAUCGUGUCACGAUUUCUCUGUUUUCUAAAACGCAAAUUGAAGGCACUUUACAACACUUUACCUGCAGACUUUUAGCUGUCAUUAUAGGUCAAUUUUGUUGUAGUGUGAAUAAUUAUUGAGGUGCAUUCUCCAUGUCUAAUACUCCUGCACCUGGUAAUUUGUAGGAAAACGUGAGCUGUACAUAGAGUCCAAUAAAUAUGGUGAGGUACUGCCAAUAAGAUUUCUUUUUCAUGUUUACCUCUUUUCUUCCAAAUUCAAAUUAAAAACAAAUAAGAUAGAGAAGAAGAAAAAAUGAAACUCAACACUAUUAACAAUUACCUCCAAUUAGUGCUUCACGUUAGCUAAUCUGUACUAAGUUUUUUCUCAUCUAUAAACAAUAAAUUGGCCCCUUAGAUCAGUUCUCAAAUUUCACAAAUAAAAAUAUUACUUCUAUUUUAACAAUAAUCAGUUUGCAAUAUGAAAAAGAAAUUAAGAAACACCUAUACCAAUAGAAGUAAUAGAACAUCAUUUCUAUUUAUAAUUUAUAGUAUGGGUAUGCAUGGUUAGUUGUAACACAUCCCAACCCGCCCCUUGUUCACCCCUAUCUACUUCCUGAAAAACAUCCCAAAUGAUCAAUCCCAACUUGUUCUCAAUAUAACAAAGUAAAUAAAAUUUCCUACCAAUAUAACAGAGUUAAUAAAAAUUUGUUCACAUUUCAAAAUAUAGUUAUUCAAACAAUGCAAAUUUAGAGGGUUUUUUGUAAGAGUAAAGUUCAAUGUAAUUUGUACCAUUUUUUGCUGGAUGUUCCUGUUUGCCUUUGGUGGGUGCCUAAUGACUUUCUAGCCUGCUUUUGUUUCCGUCCUGUAUACAUCUGUGUAUUUAGUCAUGGUAUUCUAAUAUACUGUGAAUGUAAGUUAAGCUGGUUUUUCUCCCUGCUAGUGAAGAGUUACCCUGGAAUUUCUGCCUCUGUCCAGGUACAUUUUGUGCUUGGAUUGGUUAUUAUUCAAUAAAUUUGGUUGUUUAAAAAUAUAAUUAAAAAAAAAAAUUGUACCAAAAACAAUCCUGCCAUAGACAUAGUCAGCACUACUCUCAAUUAAGUACAUAAAGAGAAAGUGAAAAAAUUAUUGAUUAAGGAUUUGUUACAUAUAACUUAUUGAAUAAAACUAAGUUGAAUAAAAAACAACAAAGAUCUACAAUAUUAACCGCAAAGAGCCUUUGCUGAAGGUUUUUCCUAUUUCAAAACAUGGUAUGUGAAAUAGAAGUAAGAACUCUUUUUUUUUUUUUUUUUUUUUGAGAACAAGUAAGAACUCUUGUUAUUUCAUGAAUUAUGCAUGCUAUCAAUAUAAUAACCACAAUGUGAUGUAAUCAUAUGGAUCUCAUGGAUCAUAUUAACAAAUUUUUUGUUUGAUGGAUGGAUUGGAUGGAUCAUAUCAUUGAUGUUAGUCCCUGUCAAGAGUUUUGUUUUAAACACCAAAAGUGCAUUCAAAAAAAUACCAUGCAUGUAAAAAUGUAAAUUAAAUUGUCAUAUAACAUAAUAGUUUGAACCUAAAACUAAUAAAAGACUGGUGAAUCAAACACAUCAAUCACACAAUAAAAGGUACUACUGAUAUAAACCUAAUACUUGCAUUGCAUCAUCCUAAUUAAGGGCUUUUCUCAGAUAAGGCUCCCAUCCAAGCAGGAGGCAACAUGCCCGUUUGCUCAUGGACAGUCUUAAACAGAGGUGGCAACAUCUUGUAGACACCAGCAACUUCUUUCAUACCCAUGGCACCUUCAGUUUUUUCACCACCACUAUCACUACCAUUAGUCCAAAUACUAAUCUUAGGCUCAAGUCCGCGUACUGCCUCGGCAUUAAUCUUAGCAAUCUCUUGAAACAUGCCACCAUUUAUCAUCAAGUAAUCCCUUACAGCUGUGUAGUUGUUUCCAAGUGCAUUCAGAAGUGUACUUACAUACGCUCCUUGAGCAUUCCCAAGUGUCACAAUCCCCUCUGCCUCUUUUUUCUUUGCGUAUAGCUCUGCUUCGGCUUCUUGCUUGCAAGCAUAAAAUGUUGCAUCUGCUGACGCUUUCUGUGCUUCUGCCUCUGCCUUCUUCUCAUACAGAAUUGCUUCAGCCUCUUUCUGCUUCUUGUACAGCUCCCAGUUUGCUUCUUGUACCUACACCAUCCAGAGUUUGAAUCACCGAAAAAGUGAUUCAGUAGUAUAGUUAUAUUAUAGCCAACGCUAAAUAUUGAAAACAUUCAUCCAAUAUUAAAGUUAAUAAAGUCAGAUCUCAUUAAUAUGUUUAUUGAUACCUAUCACCAAGGUUGUAAAAUACUGUUAAAUUCUCUAUAAAGCUUUUAUGGUGAAAAAAACAGGAGAGAACUAAUCAAACAGUCCAAUUAUUUAAAAAAUGCAACUUGACUUCUCCAUAUAGCAGAAUCAAUAAUCAAUUGAAUAAACUAUAUUAAAAAAUAGAAUAUCUUUACAUUAGUUAUCAAAAGUUUUGUAUCCUUUAAUUGGUCUUUAAAAUAUUAAAAUAUCCUAUCAUUAAUCUUCUAUCACCUAUUGUCCAUUGAUCAAGAGUGUGACUCAUUUGGUUAAAACUUAAAAGGGACAAAGAGUUUAAAGCUCAAUCUAAACACAUGAAUAGAUAAUAGUAUCAUUGCAUAUAUGCCAACAACUUUAAUCACAGUGAUUUAAUUUCCUAUCAAAACAUAUGAAAUUAUUAAUCUUGUACCUAGCUAGUAUAAAAGAAUUGCAUAACAAUAAAUAAUGAAGAAAUUACAUAUAUUUGCAUAUUAAACUAACCUUAGUUUCAUAUUGAACACUAGCUUUGCUAAGGAACUCGGCUUUAAGCUUCUCAGUAGUAGUCAAAGCAUUCAUCCUUUCAACUUCACCUUGUAACUCAGCAUCCCUUAGAGCCACGGCCUUCUUCGCCUCAACUUCAGCCACCUGAGCCGCCUUAGUCCAAGCUGCCUUCUUCUUAGCCAACUCAGAAUUAGCCUCAGCCACCUCAGCCUCUCUCUGAUUCUCAAAAACCUUCACUUCAGUCCUCACUUUAAUUCCCUCCUUGUCACCCUAUCCGGUCCUCUGCAGUGCAAUAACUUUUGUCUCUGCAUCAAUCUUCGCUGCAUUCUGCAGCGUUUUUCCUUGCCUCAAUUUCGAAUUUCACCUUUCAUCUUAGCCUCUGCCACGUCAACCCUAGCUUGAUUCGCUGCCUCCAUCUGCGUCUUUUGCCCCAGAUAUGAGAAAUACUCAUGACCAGGCACAUCCACCAAUUGCUUAACAUUUGCAUUGUAAAUCAAUAAUCCGAAUUGAUUCAACUCAAGUUGAACUUUGUCGAAUAUUCUUGUUUAAACUGUUUCGUUCCUCUGAAAACCUCCUCCAUGGUCAUGGAAGCAGCCAGUACACGUGUUUCCCCUUCAAUGAUUCCUUGAACAAGUUCAUUAACAUGAUUGGAGAGUCGAUCAUGUGGUGAAAUAAGUUUGGCGUAUUUGAGAAGGCUUUCCUGAUCGUCAACACGAGGACCAAUAGUGAAAACGGCAGGGAGAACAAAAGGAAGUUUCUCGGCACUCAUAGCUUGAACUUCGAAGGUGUAGUUUACCGGUGAGAGGUCCAAGACGGAGCAGGACUGACCGGGAAUAAUCCAUGCUUUCUUUGCAAGUUUUAUGUCUUUGAUGAGAAUACCUGUUAUCACAAGGUAUUCUGAUGCCUUUGCUACACGAUGAAGUCCCACUGUUGAUGAUAUUUGAAUUUGGAAAACCUAGAUUUCGAAAUGACAGAUGAAGUGACUGUGUUUGUAAGAAUAUAGAAUUUGUUAGGUGAAACGUGACGCCAUCAAAAGAAGUAAAAGUAAGAGUGAGUGAACAGAAUAAUUCCAAGAUACUUACAAUUUUAUCGGAUCUCAUUCGAGUUAUUUUAGGACGUAUAAAGAAAAAAUCCUAUCCAAUAUCUCAUUUUUCAAGCAAAAAUAUCCUAUCCAAUUUUAUUUUUUUUACAAUAUUGGUUAUAUUAUUUUGGCCAUUAAAAAAUAGGUUGAUAGCUUGACAAAAAAAAAAUUGAUGGUCAAAUUUUUUUUUUUAAUCUUUAAUCCUCCAAGAAGAAAAAAAAAACAUGUUAAUUGAGAGUUAGGCAAAGAGAUAAAUAAUUUUUUUUUUUUUUGAAGAAGCUAAAGUAGCCCAUCAAAAUUGACAUCAAAGAAAAUUGAAUAUGAGAUCUUGAGAAGAGGCAUACUCUAAGGUUCAAAGCCAACAUCACUAAAUCAACCCAAAUGGUGUUAAGAGAUACAUAAAAUUAAUUUGAUUAAAAGUUUUUUUAGCUAACGUUUAUUUUCAAGUUCUUUUGAACAAUUCGUGAACUCAUUAUAAACACGUGAGACUAAUUAAUUGAUUGUUAGCCAAAAUAUUAUACCGAUUAGAAAUAGAUCUUUUUGUAAAAUUAAAAUAGAACUUGAGUUUUUCUGUGUUGAGAAUAGGAAUAGAAGUUAAGCUGGAUCACUUGGAUAUUCAUCUUGUUUCAUAUUAAACCCAAUUUCAAUCAUUCUUGACGGAAAAAAAAAAAUUCAAAAAAAAUUGUUUUGAUUAGAAUUUGAAUAAUUUUCAAGGUUUCCAAGGGAAAUUAGAGAUUUUAAAAUAGACCAAGGAGUGUGAAGUAAACAAAAUUAAUCCAAAUAAUUCUUUUUGCAACUCGUACAUAUAUAGGCCAUGCUUGGAUAAACAAACUAACUCAUACAACAACACGUCACAAAAAAUUCCUAUUAUAAUCUUUAUCACAGGUAAAAUGACCCAUAUAAUGAUCUAUUGGAAGGUACACCACUCUGAUCUCUGCCUCCUUAGCCCAGAAGUUGCGUACCUUGGCUUCCAUGAACCAACUUCACACCCUUUUCCCCAGUACGUGUAGCAUUAAAGUGUGCUUCCACGGGAAACACCGCAAUUUUAACUCAUUCUUGGUUAGUUUGAUAUAAAGCUACAUUGUAUCCUCGUUAACAAUGGCUUUCAUACCUUCGAUAUUUUAUCAGCAACAAAUCAAUAAAAGAGGACUCUAUUUCAAAAUCUUGUGCACCCUCCAUCUCCAUGAGUUUAUCUUUGAAGGAACAUACACCUUUUUCAUUAAGACCUAACUCCGUCCAGGCCUCAACUUUAUAACCAUUAAAAGGUAACACACUACAAAUCAAGGACAGGGUGUAGGAUUAGUGGAAACCCUAAAUACCAACAUUCAAUUUAUUUACUAAUUGAGUGCAGAUAAUUGAGUCAUCUUCCAUUUCGCAGAUAAUUGACUCUUUAAGAUGAUAAUUGAGUGCAGAUCAAAUUGCAAUGUUAAAAAUUGUGAAAGGAAAGAACGAUCAUGAUGAGAGCGGGGGGAUUGUCUGUGAAUUCGUGAUAACAGAAAACGAAAAUGAAAAUGAAAACUGCGCAAAUUAAAACAAAUGACUUUUAAUAUGGGGUAACUUGAUUUUACAGGUGUAUGUAGUAGUGUGAUUUUGAUGUAGUAAUGAGAAUUUAAAGAUACUCGUGUUCAUUUUGGAACCAUUUAUUGCUUUUUAUUAAAGAAAUGGAAACAAAUGUCGCAAUGCAGAGACAACUUUAAAGAGCUACUACUUUGUUUUAUUAUCAAUUUUAUUUUGAUAUGAGAACAAAAAAAUGAAAGUUAAUGACGUUGGACUUAAACUUGCUUAACAAGUUAUUCAUAAAUGGGUUCUGGUAAUAAUAGCCUUUCUGACAAGGAUUUGAAACAAUGCACUUAUUUCUGACCAUGCAUGUGCAAAAUAUAUUAAUGCAUUUACGUUUUUUCUUUUUAGGGGUAUGCAUUUACUACUUAUUACAAUACAAAAGUGGUCCUUCUAUAACAUAUAAUGGAAAUGGGGAUUAUUCAAAAUACCUCGCAUGGUGUAUUAGUGUACCAUAUAUAUGACACAUCGUGUAUUGUUUGUAAAAGACUAAAAGUAGUCUUUUUUUUUUUUAAGCGGAUUGAAUAUAUCAUAUAUUAAAAUCAAGACUGUCAAAUGGACUCCUGAUAAAAUAAAAUAAAAACGUAAAUUUUUCAAAGAGUCGUCUUCUAUUUAAAUUAUCAAUAAUAUAAAAUUUAGCGGUUAGGAUGAUAAAAAUCAGACAGAGGAGAAUUGCAGUGAUGAUGGUUGAGCAGCGGCACGGCAAUAGCGGUGAGAGGGAUGGUGUCCAGGAGAGGAAAAAAGUUGAAGGGAUGGAUGGUGUCAAAGGACGUAGUAGAAGCGAAAAGCAUGAUUUGAUUUCAAUUUAUUUUGUUGUUGGUGGUGGAUGUGGGUUAGGUUAGAACUAUCAUGAUUUUAACAAGUGAUUGGAGCUACCAAGCUACCAUAUAACCAAAAUUUUGAGGCCCUGUAAAUUGGUAAAGAACUCGUUAUUUCAUGACUUACGCAUACCGACAACAAAAAUAACCACGAUGUGAUGAUUGUCCCUGUCAGAAGUUUUGUUUUAAACGCCAAAAUUCCAUUCAAAAAAUACCAAGCAUGUAAAAAUGUAAACUAAAUCAUCAUAUGACAUAGUAGUAGUUUGAACCUAAAACUAAUAAAAGACUGGUGAAUAAAACACAUAUCACACAAUAAAAGGUACUGCUAUUGUAAACCUAAUACUUGCAUCUCCAAAUUAAGAGUUUUUGUCAGGUAAAGAUCCCAUCCAAGCCGGAGGAAACAUGCCUGUUUGCUCAUGGACAGUCUUAAACAGAGGCGGCAACAUCUUGUAGACACCAGCAACUUCUUUCAUACCCAUGGCACCUUCAGUUAUUCCCCCAUUAUUAUCACCACCAUUAGUCCAAAUACUAAUCUUAGGCUCAAGUCCGCGUACCGCCUCGGCAUUAAUCUUAGCAAUCUCUUGAAACAUGCCACCAUUUAUCAUCAAGUAAUCCCUUACAGCUGUGUAGUUGUUUCCAAGUGCAUUGAGAAGUGUACUUACAUACGCUCCUUGAGCAUUCCCAAGUGUCAUAAUCCCCUCUGCCUCUUUUUUCUUUGCGUAUAGCUCUGCUUCAGCUUCUUGCUUGCGAGCAUAAAAUGUGGAAUCUGCCAAUGCUUUUUGCGCUUCUGCCUCUGCCUUCUUCUCAUACAGAAUUGCUUCAGCCUCUUUUUGUUUCUUGUAUAAUUCCCAGUUAGCCUCUUGUACCUAGAGCAUCCAGAAUUUCAAUCAGCACUUAUAAAGUAAACAUUAAAAAUCUUCUUUUUUUUGGUGGUGGAACAUUGAAAAUCAUUGAUCGAGUAAACAACCUACUUGUUAUGUUUUACUUUUAAUCAAUGGUUUGCCUGUUAAAAAAAAUUGACAAGGUUGGUAGUGAUAACUCCACAUUCUUCGAUCUUUUUCUUAAUUCAAACAAACCAUAGCACUUGCUAACUCAACAAACUUGAGUAAAAGUACACAAAUAAUAGCAAGAAAAGGAUCAUGAUUUAGACUUGGCAUGUUCUUAACAAAACUGUCAUGAUACUACUAUUAUAUGAACAUACCGAAUGAUUUAAUUUUAUAAUGAUACAGAAAUUUAGCAAAUGAUAUAUGUUCAUUUGAAAGGUAUUAACUAUGGAUUUGCGGCCUCAAUUAGCAUUUUGCUACUUCUCUUUGUGUAAUGUUUAAUCUGUCGAUUGGGGGUCUCUAGCUUUUGAGAAACAAACAUUCAAAACCUAUCUGCAACCACAAUAUAGUUUAUUAAAAGGCAACUAUAUAGCACCAUUGAAUUUUUAACUCCCAUCCUAUGAUCUUCGUAAAUAUGCAGUGCACGGACGUAGGACUAUUGUAUAUUGAAACCAAUCACAAAGGGAGUAAAAUACUGUUAAAUUCAUACAUAUACCUAGAGCUUAAACUUAAAGUCCAACCUUAACAUCUCAAUAUAUAAUAUUCUCAUUACAUGUAUGCCAAAAAACUGUAAUUACAGCGACGUAAUUGAAGUAUUACUCUUGUUGCUAGUAAAACAAUUUGAAUAAUAAUUAACAAAUGAAAGAAGAAGUUAAAUUUGCAAGGACUAACCUUAGUGUCAUAUUCAACACUAGCUUUGCUAAGGAAAUCAGCUUUAAGCUUCUCAGUAGUAGUCAAAGCAUUCAUCCUCUCAACCUCACCUUGCAACUCAGCUUCCCUUAGAGCCACGGCUUUAGCAGCCUCAAGCUCAGCCACUUGAGCCGCCAUUGUCCAAGCAGCUUUCUUCUUAGCCAACUCGGAAUUAGCCUCAGCCACUUCAGCCUCUCUUUGAUUCUCAAAAACUUUCACUUCAGUCCUCACUUUAAUUCCCUGUUUCUCACCUUCUCCAGCCCUCUGCAUCGCAAUAACCUUCGUCUCUGCAUCAAUUUUCGCUGCGUUCUGGAUCGUUUGUCCUUCCCUCAAUUUUGAACCAAUUUCACCUUUCAUCUUGGCUUCUGCCACGUCAACCCUAGCUUGAUUUGCUGCUUCCAUUUGCGUCUUUUGUCCCAAAUAUGAGAAAUAUUCAUGACCCGGCACAUCCACCAAUUGCUUAACAUUGGCGUUGUAAAUCCAUAAUCCGAAUUGGUUCAAUUCAAGUUGAACUUUGUCGAAUACUUCUUGUUUAAAUUCUUUUGUUCCUCUGAAAACCUCUUCCAUCGUCAUUGAAGCAACGAGGACACGUGUCUCGCCUUCGAUGAUUCCUUGAACAAGUUCAUUAACGUGAUUGGAGAGUUUAUCAUGAGGGGAAAUUAGUUUGGCAUAUUUGAGGAGGCUUUCGUAAUCGUCAACACGAGGACCGAUUGUGAAGACGGCAGGGAGGACGAAAGGGAGUUUUUCAGCACUCAUGGCUUGAACUUCGAAGGUGUAGUUCACCGGUGAGAGGUCGAAGACAGUGCAGGAUUGACCUGGAAAAAUCCAUGCUUUCUUUUCAAGCUUUACAUCGUCAAUUCCGGCGCCAGUUAUCACAAGGUAUUCUGAUGCCUUUGCUACCCGGUACAUGUUGAUAAUGGUUUGAAUUCGAGAAGCUAGAAUAAGAAAAUUGAAGCUAAAGAAUUGUGAUAAUCGUUUGCGGACGAAGUGACUGUGUUCUUAUUCCUUAUUAUAGCUAGUGAAUUUGUUGUAGGAUCUUAUUUAUAGGAUCUUAUUUGACUUAUUCUCAGGGCAAAAACCAUCCUAUCCGAAAAAAAAAUAAAAAAAUGUCCAUCCAAUUUCAUUGAUUAUAUAUUUUAACAUUAAAUCAUGAGUUUAAUUAGGCCACAUAAAUUAAAAUCCUAUUCAUGAAUGUAAAAAUAAUUGCAUAAGAGUAUACUAAUUAAAUUAUUAAAUAUAUUUUUUUAAGAACAAGAAGAAAUCACCUCUAAAAAAAGAACAAAAAGAGAGAAAUGUACUGACAAUGGAAUUGGAAGUUUGGAACCUCUACUUCAUCUCGAUUUCACUAAAACACAGGGAAUAAACAACAAAUUGGAAUGAAUUUACUACUCUUUCUCUAACCAUUAAAUCAACAACAAAUUGGGAGCAAUUUACCCUAUCAAAAAAUUCAAUCACUUUAAAUAAAACAAACAGUAUUGAUCUUCACGGUAUGUAUGUGUUCCGUUUGACAGAACCAAGGGACUGGAGGAGAUGCGGUCAAACACCGCUGCCAGUCCUUGUUGAACCCUUACUCAAAUCUGUAGCCAAUAUCAUUAUGAUCAUUUGAUUCUCACUUCCAGUGUCAUUGUCAAAUGGGAUUUCCGUAAUCAUUUUUGUAAUCAAAUGGUUGGUGCGUGUUAGUUUCUUUUUGUAAAAUUAAGCUUUUCCCUUUUUUGUUUUAUACUUACUUCAUCAAAAAAAGGUAUUGUUUGUUUUUUAAUCUUUUUUUCUUUGUUUCUAUACUAACAAAUUAUUUCAUUUCAGUAUGAAUAAUGAGAGUAAUACAAGUUGGACUCAAAUCAAAAGUUUGGGAAUUGGCAGGAUCAUAACUAUUGCUCUUGGUUUAGGUAAUAAAUUUAGUUGGUAUCGCUACUGUUCUCCUUUGCAAUAUCACUAUUUGAAGAUUACCCGGUCAAUAAAAGGAGUGACGAAGUGCUUAAAAAUCUUAUCUAAACUAUUUGCGAGUGAAAUGCCAUAUUUCCAAUCCUUUGCAAAUAAAAAGAUGAUAAGGGUUAGUACUGCUGUGAACUUUUUUUAAUCAUAAAAACAUAAAUGGUGUUCAUAAAUUUAAAAUAGAGAACAUCUAAAUAACAAAUCACACAAUACUCUUUAAUAAAGCGUUUAUAAUGAGACAACUAAUUGUUCUACUUAUGUAUUUUAAACAAAAAAAAAUACAAAUCUAUGACACUAGGUGUUAAUAACCUAGAACCUGCAGGGAAAUGUCUGUCAUCAUUACAAAGUUGAAGUGAAAGCCGAAUCAGAAACAAAAGGAGAAGCAUAAGCAAAAUAGAAAGCAAGAAGCUAAAGCAGAACAGAUAGAAGCGCUAAAGCAGAACAGAAGCAAAAACUAAACAAAAGCAACAUAAGUAUAACAAAAGAAGCAGUGGCAGAAGGAACCUACAACAAAGUACCCCAAUUAAGAACAAAGAACGGAUCAUAAAAAAUGAGCAAUACUGAGAUCUCAGAACCAAGGGAAAAAUGAAAAAUGCCAGAAAAUAGUAUAUUCUUUGGCAUUUCUUUGUCGAAAUGAAAAUAGGAAAGGAAUAGAGGAGUGAGUAUAGGAAAGAAAACAAAAAGAAGUUUGCAAAAGAAAACAAAGCAAGUUCACCAUCAAAUGUUAGGAAAACAGCGAAUCAUGACUGAAUCGUUUAUCCUUCUGUCAUUAAGCACAUUGAGAUCAUAAAUGAUUACAAUGCUUCUAUGCAUCUAAAUAGAACAGCAUCUUCAAGCCUACAAAACAAAGCUCAAAGGGUCUACAACUCUCAAUUUUAUUUUGCUAACCAAACACCAGCAAUGUCCUAGCUGCUGCAGGAAACUAAUCGUGAAGGACAGCUUGCUCUAUAUAUGCAAUUUGUUGUACUGUUAGCAUAUAACAGAUAUGACAAUAUUGUAUCUUUAAAAUGCUUCUAUGUAUUAUUGUUAGUCCUUCUCAGGAGUUUUGUUUUUAUUGCGAAAAUUCAAUUCAUAAAAGAUCAAGCAUGUAGAGAAAUUUAAAUUAAAUUAGCAUAUAAAAAAAUAAAUUAGCAUAUAAAUAAAACUUUGAACUUCAAAACUAGAAAAGACUAGUGAAUCUCAGACAUGUAUCACAUGAUAAAAGGUACUACUGUUAAAUUACCAAAAUAAAAGAUACUACUACUGUAAACCUAAUACUUGCAUCUCCUAAUUAAGACUUAAGAGCUUUUGUCAGAUAAGGAUCCCAUCCAAGCAGGAGGCAACAUGCCUGUUUGCUCAUGGACAGUCUUAAACAGAGGUGGCAACAUCUUGUACACACCAGCAACUUCUUUCAUCGCACCUUCACCCCCACUAUUAUCACCACCAUUAGUCCAAAUACUAAUCUUAGGCUCAAGUCCGCGUACCGCCUCAGCAUUAAUCUUAGCAAUCUCUUGAAACAUGCCACCAUUUAUCAUCAAGUAAUCCCUUACUGCUGUAUAGUUGUUUCCAAGUGCAUUCAGAAGUGUACUUACAUACGCUCCUUGAGCAUUCCCAAGUGUCACAAUCCCCUCUGCCUCUUUUUUCUUUGCGUACAGCUCUGCUUCAGCUUCUUGCUUGCGAGCAUAAAAUG
rnacentral:lncRNA from 1 species